rnacentral:rRNA from 1 species
AUUGAACGCUGGCGGCAGGCCUAACACAUGCAAGUCGAACGGUAACAGGAAGAAGCUUGCUUCUUUGCUGACGAGUGGCGGACGGGUGAGGAAUGUCUGGGAAACUGCCUGAUGGAGGGGGAUAACUACUGGAAACGGUAGCUAAUACCGCAUAACGUCGCAAGACCAAAGAGGGGGAACUUCGGGCCUCUUGCCAUCGGAUGUGCCCAGAUGGGAUUAGCUAGUAGGUGGGGUAACGGCUCACCUAGGCGACGAUCCCUAGCUGGUCUGAGAGGAUGACCAGCCACACUGGAACUGAGACACGGUCCAGACUCCUACGGGAGGCAGCAGUGGGGAAUAUUGCACAAAGGGCGCAAGCCUGAUGCAGCCAUGCCGCGUGUAUGAAGAAGGCCUUCGGGUUGUAAAGUACUUUCAGCGGGGAGGAAGGGAGUAAAGUUAAUACCUUUGCUCAUUGACGUUACCCGCAGAAGAAGCACCGGCUAACUCCGUG